ACAGGCUGACCUGUCUGGCUAUAAUGUGCUGGAUUGCAUGCAGCUGUUCUAGGCGGAUGCUAUUUUUGGGGAGAUAGUCACCCAGACUAAUCUGUAUGCGGAGCAGUAUCUGGCACACAAUCAAGAGUCUCUCAUCGCCAGAAAAGAGAGAUGGUACCCCACCAGUGUGCCAGAAUUGAAAGAAUUCUGGGCACUGACAAUGCUAAUGGGGAUAAAUAAAAAGCUCACCAUUAGAAUGUAUUGGUCUAAAAACAACUAUUUGCAAGGCUGAAACGAUCGUCU